rnacentral:rRNA from 1 species
AGGAAAGCAGGGGAUCGCAAGACCUUGNCGCUUUUGGAGCGGCCGAUGUCUGAUUAGCUAGUUGGUGAGGUAAAGGCUUACCAAGGCUUCGAUCAGUAGCUGGUCUGAGAGGACGACCAGCCACACUGGGACUGAGACACGGCCCAGACUCCUACGGGGGGCAGCAGUGGGGAAUUUUGGACAAUGGGGGAAACCCUGAUCCAGCCAUGCCGCGUGAGUGAAGAAGGCCUUCGGGUUGUAAAGCUCUUUCAGCCGGAACGAAAAGGUUACGGUUAAUACCCGUGACUAAUGACGGUACCGGAAGAAGAAGCACCGGCUAACUACGUGCCAGCAGCCGCGGUAAUACGUAGGGUGCGAGCGUUAAUCGGAAUUACUGGGCGUAAAGCGUGCGCAGGCGGUUUUGUAAGUCAGAUGUGAAAUCCCCGGGCUCAACCUGGGAACUGCGUUUGAAACUACAAGGCU